GUCCAUUCUACCACCUUCAAUAAUAUCACUCAUAAACUCAUCAACAUCAGACAGAGAAUUGGAGUUCUUGAGGAAACGACAAGUAGCUUGGGAAGAAUCCUUUCGGGACCUCUAUUACAUGUUUCGAAAGAACAUUUGUGGCCUUUUUUAUGUUUGCACUGCCCGGUUUGUGGUGAUGUUCACUGGUGGCGAUCACUACAAGAAAAAUGCUGAUUUCUG